rnacentral:rRNA from 1 species
GCUUACGGCCAUACCAGCCUGGGUACGCCCGAUCUCGUUUGAUCUCGGAAGCUAAGCAGGGUCGGGCCUGGUUAGUACUUGGAUGGGAGACCGCCUGGCAAUACCAGGUGCUGUAAGCA